UACGUAGGGGGCAAGCGUUGUCCGGAAUCAUUGGGCGUAAAGAGCGUGUAGGCGGCCCGGUAAGUCCGCUGUGAAAGUCCAGGGCUCAACCCUGGGAUGCCGGUGGAUACUGUCGGGCUCGAGUCCGGAAGAGGAGUGUGGAAUUCCGGUGUAGCGGUGAAAUGCGCAGAUAUCAGGAGGAACACCAAUGGCGAAGGCAGCACUCUGGGACGUGACUGACGCUGAGACGCGAAAGCGUGGGGAGCAAACAGG
rnacentral:rRNA from 1 species